CCUACGGGAGGCAGCAGUAGGGAAUCUUCCACAAUGGACGAAAGUCUGAUGGAGCAACGCCGCGUGAGUGAAGAAGGUUUUCGGAUCGUAAAACUCUGUUGUUGGAGAAGAACACGUUUGAGAGUAACUGUUCAGACGUUGACGGUAUCCAACCAGAAAGCCACGGCUAACUACGUGCCAGCAGCCGCGGUAAUACGUAGGUGGCAAGCGUUAUCCGGAUUUAUUGGGCGUAAAGCGAGCGCAGGCGGUUUCUUAAGUCU
rnacentral:rRNA from 1 species